rnacentral:rRNA from 1 species
GACGAACGCUGGCGGCAUGCCUAACACAUGCAAGUCGAGCGAGCAGAUCCCUUCGGGGUGAAGCUAGCGGCGGACGGGUGAGUAACACGUGGGCAACCUGCCUCAUAGAGGGGAAUAGCCUUCCGAAAGGAAGAUUAAUACCGCAUAAGAUUGUAGCUUUGCAUGAAGCAGCAAUUAAAGGAGCAAUCCGCUAUGAGAUGGGCCCGCGGCGCAUUAGCUAGUUGGUGAGGUAACGGCUCACCAAGGCGACGAUGCGUAGCCGACCUGAGAGGGUGAUCGGCCACAUUGGGACUGAGACACGGCCCAGACUCCUACGGGAGGCAGCAGUGGGGAAUAUUGCACAAUGGGGGAAACCCUGAUGCAGCAAUGCCGCGUGAGUGAUGACGGCCUUCGGGCUGUAAAGCUCUGUCUUCGGGGACGAUAAUGACGGUACCCGAGGAGGAAGCCACGGCUAACUACGUGCCAGCAGCCGCCGUAA